UCUAGUUAAUUCCUUAUCCUUGGUAGUUUUGCAGUUAAUAAAUUAGAAGAAGAUGGUUUGGGAAACAAAAAGGUAUAAGGCCCCGAGCAAGGUUCCCUACACAAAGGAGCAGAUAAGGGAAGUCUUCAAACGUCAUGACAAGAAUGGAGAUGGUCAACUUUCCAAACAAGAGCUGGACGCAGCCUUCGACGAACUUGGCGCGAAAUGGCCUCCUUUUAGAGCUUGGUUUGCUCGAAGGUAUGCAGAUGACAACGGUGAUGGCUUCAUUUCUAUAGACAAGGAGCUCAGCAAGCUCGUCGAUUAUGCCCUAGAAUUGAAGUAUAUACUUCAUUAAUUAUAGUAUUUGUGGGUAACUAGUUCUUGUAUGUGCUUGCUAUAGAUAUAUUCUCAGCAAGUUCAUUGACUAUACCCUCAAUUGAAGCUUUCUAUAUAUGUAACUCUGUCCGUGUGUAAGCGUCUUUAAUUACUUAUAAGCCACCGUAGUUCCUAUGUAAGUGUGCAAGGUUGAGGGAACGAAAGAGGUGAUCUUUUGUUUCCCCUUGUUACCAGGGAGGAUGAAUUUGAACCCUGAUUAUGUAUAAUAUAUAGUGAUUAACAAGAAUAAAGUAACAAACUUUGUGUAUUGA
rnacentral:lncRNA from 1 species